GCCGCUAACGGUAUAACAGUAAGCUGAUGUGGCACAUUAAAUCAUCAUUUCAUACAAAAAUUGUAGGUUAAAUUAUACAACUACUCCCCAUAUUUUUCUAUGUUUUGAGCAAUUUAUUUUUUUUCUUUUAUAUUCUUUCAACUUUAUUUUAUAUUCUUUCAACUUUUUUUUUCUUUUUUUUUCUUUCCAUUCUACUUAUCCCUCCGUUUUCCUCCCUUCUCAAAUUCUUUUAACGUAUCAAACAGGACGGCACAAACCCUCUCUCAACUUAUCCUCUCUUACACUCUCAACUCUCAUCAAAUUCAAUCUCUCACUCACCAUGGCACAAACCUUUAUAUGUGCCGCCACAUCCACCCUUACAUGCCACCUUACUCUAUCCUUUCUCCUCCCCAAACGCCUCUUAUACUCCAAAUCCAUCACCCAUCCUCCUCUCAUCCCUUUCCUCCGCUUCUCUGCUUCUCCCAUUGCGCUCCUACCCCUUUUUCCCAUAUCGUCCGAUGUCUC
rnacentral:lncRNA from 1 species